rnacentral:lncRNA from 1 species
GAAAUUAACAAUCUUUUAUCAGAAUGGAAUGUUUUUAAUAUCUCUCUCUCUUUCUCUGAAAUCUCCAGAUAUCACAAAUGAAAAUAAGUAAGAGUGCAGAGAUUUGAAGAAACCUAACACAAUAGAAGUCUUGAGCUGAGCGCUUCAUGACAAAAUGCCAGAGGGCUCCAGAAGACCUGCCCCCAGCAAAAAGAACAGAUUGUAUCAACCAAAGGAAAAGCACCAGUGAAAGCCAGGAUGUAAUUCCAG